rnacentral:rRNA from 1 species
UACGAAGGGUGCAAGCGUUAAUCGGAAUUACUGGGCGUAAAGCGUGCGUAGGUGGUUUCUUAAGUCUGCUGUGAAAGCCCUGGGCUCAACCUGGGAAUGGCGGUGGAUACUGAGGAGCUAGAGUGCGGUAGAGGAGGGUGGAAUUCCCGGUGUAGCGGUGAAAUGCGUAGAGAUCCGGAAGAACACCGGUGGCGAAGGCGGCCUGCUGGGCUAUGGCUGACACUGAGGCGCGACAGCGUGGGGAGCAAACAGG